rnacentral:rRNA from 1 species
UACGUAGGGUGCGAGCGUUGUCCGGAAUUAUUGGGCGUAAAGAGCUUGUAGGCGGUUUGUCGCGUCUGCCGUGAAAAUCCGGGGCUCAACCCCGGACUUGCGGUGGGUACGGGCAGACUAGAGUGUGGUAGGGGAGACUGGAAUUCCUGGUGUAGCGGUGAAAUGCGCAGAUAUCAGGAGGAACACCGAUGGCGAGGGCAGGUCUCUGGGCCACUACUGACGCUGAGAAGCGAAAGCGUGGGGAGCGAACAGG